ensembl:snoRNA SNORA73 Small nucleolar RNA SNORA73 family
UUGACAUAGACUAUUAAGAGUUCAUACAUCUCCCCAGGCUCUGUCCAGGUGGCGUAGGGGAGCAUAGGGCUCUGCCCCCAUGAUGUACAGUCCCUUUCCACAACGUUGGAGAGAAAGCCGGGCCUUGAGUCGGCGCCUGCAUAUUCCUACAGCUUCUCAGAGUCCUGUGGACGAUGACUGGGGAGACAAACCAUGCAGGAAACAUCU